rnacentral:rRNA from 1 species
GGCCCAAACUCCUACGGGAGGCAGCAGUAGGGAAUUUUCGUCAAUGGGGGGAACCCUGAACGAGCAAUGCCGCGUGAGUGAGGAAGGUCUUCGGAUCGUAAAGCUCUGUUGUAAGAGAAAAACGACAUUCAUAGGGAAUGAUGAGUGAGUGAUGGUAUCUUACCAGAAAGUCACGGCUAACUACGUGCCAGCAGCCGCGGUAAUACGUAGGUGGCGAGCGUUAUCCGGAAUGAUUGGGCGUAAAGGGUGCGUAGGUGGCAGAACAAGUCUGGAGUAAAAGGUAUGGGCUCAACCCGUACUGGCUCUGGAAACUGUUCAGCUAGAGAACAGAAGAGGACGGCGGAACUCCAUGUGUAGCGGUAAAAUGCGUAGAUAUAUGGAAGAACACCGGUGGCGAAGGCGGCCGUCUGGUCUGUUGCUGACACUGAAGCACGAAAGCGUGGGGAGCAAAUAGGAUUAGAUACCCUAGUAGUCCACGCCGUAAACGAUGAGAACUAGGUGUUGGGGGAAUAACUCAGUGCCGCAGUUAACGCAAUAAGUUCUCCGCCUGGGGAGUAUGCACGCAAGUGUGAAACUCAAAGGAAUUGACGGGGGCCCGCACAAGCGGUGGAGUAUGUGGUUUAAUUCGAAGCAACGCGAAGAACCUUACCAGGCCUUGACAUCCCUUGCAGAGGUAUAGAGAUAUAUCCGAGGUUAUCAAGGAGACAGGUGGUGCAUGGUUGUCGUCAGCUCGUGUCGUGAGAUGUUGGGUUAAGUCCCGCAACGAGCGCAACCCUUGUGAUAUGUUACUAACAUUGAGUUGAGGACUCAUAUCAGACUGCCGGUGAUAAACCGGAGGAAGGUGGGGAUGACGUCAAAUCAUCAUGCCCCUUAUGGCCUGGGCUACACACGUACUACAAUGGCGUCUACAAAGAGCGGCAAGCCUGUGAAGGCAAGCGAAUCUCAUAAAGGACGUCUCAGUUCGGAUUGAAGUCUGCAACCCGACUUCAUGAAGCUGGAAUCGCUAGUAAUCGCGAAUCAGCAUGUCGCGGUGAAUACGUUCUCGGGCCUUGUACACACCGCCCGUCAAACCAUGGGAGUUGGUAAUGCCCGAAGCCGGUGGCAUAACCUUUCGAGGAGUGAGCCGUCGAAGGCAGGACCGAUGACUGGGGUUAAGUCGUAACAAGGUAUCCCUACGGGAACGUGGGGAUG